ACCCUGGGGCCAAAAGGACCAUUCAAAUCCCAGCCUGGCCAUUUACCGGGCAGUGUGACCUUUUGGCAGAUGGGACCAACAUGUUCCAUUGGAAUCUUGCGGUGAUUAAAAGCAGGUAAAAUGUGUAUUGUAGUCUGUGUGUGUGAGCAUUAGCUCUCAUUAUUGAGAGCUCCCUCAGUCCAUGAGGGCUUACUAAAAAAGUUCUCAAAGCCCAUCUACAUUUGUUACUCAUUGUCCACUCUUUUCCCUGGGAACUUCUGUGUCCUGUCCAGGGUCAUGUCUCACUCCUCAAACCACCCAGCUAUUUCUCCCUACUUUGAAACUCAGCUCUGGAAUCUGCGAUUGCUUAUUUGGGCUCUCCAACCACCCAGUAGCAAUUUCUAACAUUUAAACAUAAAUCGGGGCAUUGCCUGAAGCACUCUGUUUGGCUUUUGAGGACUUCUCCUCCCCUAUCCUAAGCAACUUUCUAUGAUUUAAGAUCCUCCUCUCUUUGCCUCCAAUUCCUCAUUCCUGAUCCUCUCAUUCCCUAUCUAGGCCAAAGUCUAGAUUAGAGAGGAAAUUUCCAUCAAGUUUAGAAAAUGUGACAUGUGGUCAGCUUGGGGGAAGAAGAUGGGGAAAGAAUCCUGCCUGUUCCUUUGUUUUUUUUUCCCAUGUAAAUUCACACCUUUGUAAAUUACUCCCUACCCUUAUUCAGUUUCUCAACCUUCUUUUAACUCCCAUUGAACAAUACAACUAUUUCCUUCUACACCCCACCCCCCAGCUUACUCCACAUUUCAACAUGACUGGAACAACCGGUGACAGGAUUCUGGCCAGCUAGAGCUUUUUUUCCUCCAUUAGAUCCCAUUGAAGCCAUGGCACAAAAUAGGAGCUCAACAAAUAUCUGAAUAUAUAUCUGUGUAUCUUGUAUUUUGAGACUAAUAAAUGUACUUAUGUUUUGGCUCCCUAUUUUCUA
rnacentral:lncRNA from 12 species